ACCAGCCAUGCCGCGUGGAGGAUGAAGGUCCUCUGGAUUGUAAACUUCUUUUAUCUGGGAAGAAACCCACGGUUUCUACUGUGGUUGACGGUACCAGAUGAAUAAGCACCGGCUAACUCCGUGCCAGCAGCCGCGGUAAUACGGAGGGUGCAAGCGUUAUCCGGAUUCACUGGGUUUAAAGGGUGCGUAGGCGGGCAGGUAAGUCAGUGGUGAAAUCUCCGGGCUUAACCCGGAAACUGCCGUUGAUACUAUCUGUCUUGAAUAUCGUGGAGGUGAGCGGAAUAUGUCAUGUAGCGGUGAAAUGCUUAGAUAUGACAUAGAACACCAAUUGCGAAGGCAGCUCGCUACACGGUAAUUGACGCUGAGGCACGAAAGCGUGGGGAUCAAACAGGAUUAGAUACCCUGGUAGUCCACGCCCUAAACGAUGAUUACUCGACAUCAGCGAUACACUGUUGGUGUCUGAGCGAAAGCAUUAAGUAGUCCACCUGGGAAGUACGACCGCAAGGUUGAAACUCAAAGGAAUUGACGGAAAGCC
rnacentral:rRNA from 1 species